UGGAAACGGCGUCUAAUACUGGAUAUGUCCCGUCACCGCAUGGUGUGCGGGUGGAAAGAUUUUUCGGUUGGGGAUGGGCUCGCGGCCUAUCAGCUUGUUGGUGAGGUAAUGGCUCACCAAGGCGUCGACGGGUAGCCGGCCUGAGAGGGUGACCGGCCACACUGGGACUGAGACACGGCCCAGACUCCUACGGGAGGCAGCAGUGGGGAAUAUUGCACAAUGGGCGGAAGCCUGAUGCAGCAACGCCGCGUGAGGGAUGACGGCCUUCGGGUUGUAAACCUCUUUUAGCAGGGAAGAAGCGAAAGUGACGGUACCUGCAGAAAAAGCACCGGCUAACUACGUGCCAGCAGCCGCGGUAAUACGUAGGGUGCAAGCGUUAUCCGGAAUUAUUGGGCGUAAAGAGCUCGUAGGCGGUCUGUCGCGUCUGCUGUGAAAUCCCGAGGCUCAACCUCGGGCUUGCAGUGGGUACGGGCAGACUAGAGUGCGGUAGGGGAGAUUGGAAUUCCUGGUGUAGCGGUGGAAUGCGCAGAUAUCAGGAGGAACACCGAUGGCGAAGGCAGAUCUCUGGGCCGUAACUGACGCUGAGGAGCGAAAGGGUGGGGAGCAAACAGGCUUAGAUACCCUGGUAGUCCACCCCGUAAACGUUGGGAACUAGUUGUGGGGUCCUUUCCACGGAUUCCGUGACGCAGCUAACGCAUUAAGUUCCCCGCCUGGGGAGUACGGCCGCAAGGCUAAAACUCAAAGGAAUUGACGGGGACCCGCACAAGCGGCGGAGCAUGCGGAUUAAUUCGAUGCAACGCGAAGAACCUUACCAAGGCUUGACAUACACGAGAACGGGCCAGAAAUGGUCAACUCUUUGGACACUCGUGAACAGGUGGUGCAUGGUUGUCGUCAGCUCGUGUCGUGAGAUGUUGGGUUAAGUCCCGCAACGAGCGCAACCCUCGUUCUAUGUUGCCAGCACGUAAUGGUGGG
rnacentral:rRNA from 1 species